CAGUCGCCGCGGGAAAACGUAGGGCGCAAGCGUUGUCCGGAAUUAUUGGGCGUAAAGAGCUCGUAGGCGGUCUGUCGCGUCUGGUGUGAAAUCCCGAGGCUCAACCUCGGGCUUGCAUCGGGUACGGGCAGACUAGAGUGCGGUAGGGGAGACUGGAAUUCCUGGUGUAGCGGUGGAAUGCGCAGAUAUCAGGAGGAACACCGAUGGCGAAGGCAGGUCUCUGGGCCGCAACUGACGCUGAGGAGCGAAAGCAUGGGGAGCGAACAGGAUUAGAUACCCCGGUAGUCCCUGUCUCUUAUAA
rnacentral:rRNA from 1 species